rnacentral:pre_miRNA from 1 species
ACAACAUUUGGACCGUCGGUCUACCGAGCAAUAUCACCCGCUCAGUGGAAGAUCUUCUUCUGUCAU